GCCAGCAGCCGCGGUAAUACGAAGGGACCUAGCGUAGUUCGGAAUUACUGGGCUUAAAGAGUUCGUAGGUUGUUAAAAAAGUUGGUUGUGAAAUCCCGAAGCUUAACUUCGGAACUGCAAUCAAAACUUUUUAGCUAGAGUAUGAUAGAGGAAAGCAGAAUUUCUAGUGUAGAGGUGAAAUUCGUAGAUAUUAGAAAGAAUACCAAUUGCGAAGGCAGCUUUCUGGAUCAUUACUGACACUGAGGAACGAAAGCAUGGGUAGCGAAGAGGAUUAGAUACCCUCGUAGUCCAUGCCGUAAACGAUGUGUGUUAGACGUUGGAAAUUAUUUUCAGUGUCGCAGCGAAAGCAUUAAACACACCGCCUGGGGAGUACGACCGCAAGGUUAAAACUCAAAUGAAUUGACGGGGACCCGCACAAGUAGUGGAGCAUGUGGUUUAAUUCGAAGAUACGCGCAGAACCUUACCAACACUUGACAUGUUCGUCGCGACUCUAAGAGAUUAGAGUUUUCGGUUCGGCCGGACGAAACACAGGUGCUGCAUGGCUGUCGUCAGCUCGUGUCGUGAGAUGUUGGGUUAAGUCCCGCAACGAGCGCAACCCUCACUUUUAGUUGCCAUCAUUUAGUUGGGCACUCUGAAAGAACUGCCAGUGAUAAGCUGGAGGAAGGUGGGGAUGACGUCAAGUCCUCAUGGCCCUUACGUGUUGGGCUACACACGUGCUACAAUGGCAUUUACAAUAGGAAGCAAGAUGGCGACGUCGAGCAAAUCCUAAAAAGAUGCCUCAGUUCGGAUUGUACUCUGCAACUCGAGUACAUGAAGCUGGAAUUACUAGUAAUCGCG
rnacentral:rRNA from 1 species